AAACGACUCUUGGCAACGGAUAUCUCGGCUCUUGCAUCGAUGAAGAACGUAGCGAAAUGCGAUACUUGGUGUGAAUUGCAGAAUCCCGUGAACCAUCGAGUUUUUGAACGCAAGUUGCGCCCGAAGCCUUUUGGCCGAGGGCACGCCUGCCUGGGCAUCAUGA
rnacentral:rRNA from 1 species